GUGCCAGCCGCCGCGGUAAUACGUAGGGUGCGAGCGUUAAUCGGAAUUACUGGGCGUAAAGCGUGCGCAGGCGGUUGUGCAAGACAGGUGUGAAAUCCCCGAGCUUAACUUGGGAACUGCAUUUGUGACUGCACGGCUAGAGUACGGUAGAGGGGAGUGGAAUUCCGCGUGUAGCAGUGAAAUGCGUAGAUAUGCGGAGGAACACCGAUGGCGAAGGCAGCUCCCUGGACCUGUACUGACGCUCAUGCACGAAAGCGUGGGGAGCAAACAGGAUUAGAUACCCUGGUAGUCCACGCCCUAAACGAUGUCAACUGGUUGUUGGGAGGGUUUCUUCUCAGUAACGUAGCUAACGCGUGAAGUUGACCGCCUGGGGAGUACGGCCGCAAGGUUGAAACUCAAAUGAAUUGACGG
rnacentral:rRNA from 1 species